GGAGGACGCCGAAGGUGGGGCUAAUGACUGGGGUGAAGUCGUAACAAGGUAGCCGUACCGGAAGGUGCGGCUGGAUCACCUCCUAACAGGGAGACAACAAAAUGUUUAAUAUUAUUAUUUUGUCACCUUAGGUCGAUCGGUAUCUCACGUUUUUAAUUUAUUAAGAAUUUCAUUUCCUAAGUUUUUUCUAGGUCACACCCAUUAUUUUUCCUGGGCCAUUAGCUCAGGUGGUUAGAGCGCACCCCUGAUAAGGGUGAGGUCCCUGGUUCAAGUCCAGGAUGGCCCAUAUCUCUAUGUUGGGGGUAUAGCUCAGUUGGUAGAGCGCCUGCUUUGCAAGCAGGAUGUCAGCGGUUCGAGUCCGCUUACCUCCACUGAUUACCACCUCUUCCAUAAUUUUUGGGAAGGAAAUUUUUUGAGUAGUGAUCAAAUUCUGAACGAAGCUAGCCUCCUAAUGAAAUCAUUAAGAUGCUGGACUCAUUGAAUUAAUUUCAUUGUUUUCAGAGAACCUUGACAACUGCAUAGAUUAUUUUUAAAGACAAUAAGCAUCUUUAAUGAUGCAGAUUUAUUAUUUGUGCGAAUGCAUUAAUAACAAUUCUAUUAAGCUGAUGCUUCAAUUUUUGAAGUUAUUGGUCAAGCUACAAAGGGCUCACGGAGGA
rnacentral:misc_RNA from 1 species